rnacentral:tRNA from 1 species
GUAGACUGGAGAGGUUACCAGCCCGGCCUCAUAAGCCGCGUACAUGGGUUCGAAUCUCAUCCGCUACA